UACGAAGGGAGCUAGCGUUGUUCGGAAUCACUGGGCGUAAAGCGCACGUAGGCGGAUGUGUCAGUCAGGGGUGAAAUCCCGGAGCUCAACUUCGGAACUGCCUCUGAUACAGCACGUCUUGAGUCCGAUAGAGGUGGGUGGAAUUCCGAGUGUAGAGGUGAAAUUCGUAGAUAUUCGGAGGAACACCAGUGGCGAAGGCGGCUCACUGGUCCAUUACUGACGCUGAGGUGCGAAAGCGUGGGGAGCAAACAGG
rnacentral:rRNA from 1 species